rnacentral:rRNA from 1 species
GGAUAACGUUUGGAAACGAACGCUAAUACCGCAUGAUAUUAUCUUAUCGCAUGAUAGGAUGAUCAAAGGAGUGAUCCGCUGAAAGAUGGGCUCGCGUCCGAUUAGGUAGUUGGUGAGGUAACGGCCCACCAAGCCGACGAUCGGUAGCCGGACUGAGAGGUUGGACGGCCACAUUGGGACUGAGACACGGCCCAGACUCCUACGGGAGGCAGCAGUAAGGGAUAUUGGUCAAUGGGGGAAACCUUGAAUCAGCAACGCCGCGUGAGGGAAGACGGUUUUCGGAUUGUAAACCUCUGUCCUCUGUGAAGAUGAUGACGGUAGCAGAGGAGGAAGCUCCGGCUGACUACGUGCCAGCAGCCGCGGUAAUACGUAGGGAGCGAGCGUUGUCCGGAUUUACUGGGUGUAAAGGGUGCGUAGGCGGCUAUGCAAGUCAGUAGUGAAAUCCAUGGGCUUAACCCAUGAACUGCUAUUGAAACUGCACAGCUUGAGUGAAGUAGAGGUAGGCGGAAUUCCCGGUGUAGCGGUGAAAUGCGUAGAGAUCGGGAGGAACACCAGUGGCGAAGGCGGCCUACUGGGCUUUAACUGACGCUGAGGCACGAAAGCGUGGGUAGCAAACAGGAUUAGAUACCCUGGUAGUCCACGCUGUAAACGAUGAUUACUAGGUGUGGGGGGACUGAACCCUUCCGUGCCGGAG